GAUUCACUGAAAACUGUACACGUACUAGAUAUCAAGAUGACAAAGGCAGCCUUGAUAGCAGCCAGGGUCCUCACACUCUGUCUGCUCCCUUCAUAAAGCCAGCUCUCUGAGGAAGCUGAAGGUACCGGUGGUUUUACUUCCCUAUGUCCCCUCCAGCACUGGAGUCAAGGUCAACUUCACUCUGAGCUCGAUCCCCUCAAGGUUGCUUCUCUUGGUCAGUGUACCUACUGUGUGUGUGUAGGGGAAGGGUGAUACUGGUGCAAGCUGUGACCCUGAGUUACAGUCAAUAGUUAAUUAAGCUUGGUGCAAAGAUUUAGGCCUAAAAACAAUUUUAACGUGGCUUAAUAUUGCUCGGUGAAUUCCAGCGUCCAAUAAUUAUUAUAUAAUUAUAGUGCAAUAAAAAUAAUUAAUGAUCACGUAUAAUUAUUAUUAUGCCACCCACACACACUCCCACCCACACACACACACACACACACACACACACUCCCACCCGUACCCACACACACACACACACACUCCACACACACACAGGUUGAACAUUAAACCGGACAUAGUGUCAGAUAUCUAACCAUGCAGCUAGCAUACUUGUAGUGAUACAUGUGUGUCUCUCCCCUGCCCUAACCACACCCCCUCACACAAGUGCAGGUGUUGGCAAGUCCACAUUUUCAUCUGCCCCUUCCUCUGUAUAAUGUGUGUGUAGCGCUUCUGAUGAGCUGGCUGAGGUAUACCUUCCACUACAGGAGAUAGAUGCUGACAAAGCACCAGCAAGAGCUGGCUGUAUUCUGGCUGGUCUGGGGUUCACUCCACAGAAGAAUGAGAUUUUAUCUGGCCAGGACACUGUUUGCAAGAUGUGGGAACACGAAACCAUCGUCGGUUGUGCGCAGUGUAUUAUAGUCGUACCCCCGGGUUUGAAGUGAUCCAUGGACUACUGGACCGUGUCAUGCAGCUGCUGGAGGUGUCCUUCACCAAAGAUGGCAGUGGAAACUUCCUCAAGGCAGCUGAAGACUGUACCUAUUUCCUGCGCCAUUGUGCAGAGGUGUGUGUACGUGGGAAGGUGAUCGGGAAACUGGGCGUGCUCCAUCCUGGUGUGUCAGUUGUGCAGCUCUAGUGUGUGUGAGACUGGGAGGUGUGUCUGGUGCAGCUGUUCUCACGGCCUCCUCCAACCAGUACCUGCCCUCUGUACUCUCCAGGGAAAACCUAUCUCCUCAGAUGUGGGAACACGGAACCAUUGUCGGUUGUGUGCAGUGUAUUAUAGUCGUACCCCCGGGUUUGAAGUGAUCCAUGGACUACUGGACCGCGUCAUGCAGCUGCUGGAGGUGUCCUUCACCAAAGAUGGCAGUGGAUACUUCCUCAAG